UACGUAGGGGGCAAGCGUUGUCCGGAUUUAUUGGGCGUAAAGCGCACGUAGGCGGUAUUGCAAGUCGGAUGUGAAAUCCCUCGGCUUAACCAAGGAAGUGCAUCCGAAACUGCUGUACUUGAGUACGAAAGAGGAUCGCGGAAUUCCCGGUGUAGAGGUGAAAUUCGUAGAUAUCGGGAGGAACACCAGUGGCGAAGGCGGCGAUCUGGGUCGAUACUGACGCUGAGGUGCGAAAGCGUGGGGAGCAAACAGG
rnacentral:rRNA from 1 species